UGUAAUAUCCUGGAGAUUUGACCCCUGAUAAGACCAUAGUGCCCAAUAUGCCGGAUGAGAAUAUGACCAUCACCGUGACAACUGUGCGAUAAUCUGAAUGUCAAAAUAAAGAUCAUUCGUUUACGGAUCGUUGUACUGACAACACCUUCAGCCUUCUGUUUAUUCUUCUACUUUGCGAUAUUGUGCCUUUGUUAUAACUUGAACGUUUAAUUCAAAUUGGUAAAAUUCGAGGUUUUACAUCUCAGAAGUGGGAUACGUCUUAUCGCCUGCACCUGCUUUGCUGUCCAAUCCAGCACGGCAAAAGAUUGUGUAUCGAAGAGUUUGUUUGUUUGUGUGUGAGAUGACGCUACCAUCUGCCAUUGCAAUGCGCAAAAACAAGAAGCUUCUGUGUGUGCUUGCCGGUAUAGGCAGCCAAUUCGAUGUUUAGACAACGAUUUGCCUCAUGGCUAGACCAGAUUACGCCAGAUUCACCAGCCACAACGAUAUCGAUCCCUGCAACCCUAAAGACACCAGCCAUCUAGCACUUGCAUUUAGUGUGGCCGCCAUCUUGUUCAUCUUGCACGACAAUGACACCGCCAUUUAGUAUUAAUACGGCCGCUGUUUAUUCUUUCAUCAUCGCUCAUACUUGGAAUACUGGAAAAGCUUCGCGCAUCACUUCUGUUAUUGCAUGUGCACCGCACGCCGUGUUGUCAUCGCCUCCGAUUUAUCGUGUGUAUUGCCUUCCGCCACUUUAUGGAUUGACCCCGCUACCACCCUCUACCGCCGCGUCAUGUUCGAGUGCUGUGGCAUCGGUUGUAGCCUACUGAGCUGUUGAACAACAAUCAUUGUGGUGUCGUUCAGUAUUCAGGUUCAUCCUGAUCGACAUUGUCCUUAUGCUUGGCUGUAACUUCUGUAAACGUCAGCAAGACUUCUGGAGGAGAUGCCGAUCAGCGGCAGCAGUACUUACACCCACUAUGAGAUUGAUUCAACCGCACGCAUCACAUGACGACAUCAUUCAGGAUCAGUUCUUUUCGAUAUCAGCAUCGUCCUCAUGCUUGGCUGUAACUUCCGUAAACUUCAGCAAGACUUCCGGAGGAGAUGUUGGUCAGAAAAGCAGCUGUGAUUGAAAUUGACCCAACUUUACGCAUCAUAUGACGACAUCAUUCCGGAUCAACACCUUUCGAUAUCAUCAUCGUACUUAUGCUUGGCUGUAACUUCCGUAAACUUCAGCAAGACUUCCGGAGGAGAUGUUGGUCAGAAAAGCAGUUGUGAUUGAAAUAAAGCCGCUCAAAUUGAGGUCAAUUUGUUUGUCAGGAUAGCCGAGCUGUAAUAUCCUGGAGAUUUGACCCCUGAUAAGACCAUAGUGCCCAAUAUGCCGGAUGAGAAUAUGACCAUCACCGUGACAACUGUGCGAUAAUCUGAAUGUCAAAAUAAAGAUCAUUCGUUUACGGAUCGUUGUACUGACAACA